CCCCACUGCUAUCGGGAUAGGACUAAGACAUGCUAGUUGAGCGCUUCCAGCCAAUACGGGAGCGCGGCGCACGGCUCAGUAACACGUGGCUAACCUGCCCUUGGGACCGGAACACCCCCGGGAAACUGGGGCUAAUUCUCGAUAGGUGAAGAACUCUGGAAUGAGUCUUCGCCCAAAAGAUGCUAGAGUUAUGCUCUUUGGCAUCGCCCAAGGAUGAGGCCGCGACCGAUCAGGUUGUUGGUGAGGUAAUGGCUCACCAAGCCUUUUACCGGUGCGGGCCGUGAGAGCGGGAGCCCGGAGAUGGGCACUGAGACAAGGGCCCAGGCCCUACGGGGCGCAGCAGUCGCGAAAACUUUGCAAUACACGAAAGUGUGACAGGGCUAUCCCGAGUGCCAUCCGCUGAGGAAGGCUUUUACCCAGUCUAGAACGCUGGGGGAAUAAGGAGAGGGCAAGUCUGGUGUCAGCCGCCGCGGUAAUACCAGCUCUCCGAGUGGUGUGGAUGUUUAUUGGGCCUAAAGCAUCCGUAGCUGGCUAAGUUAGUCCCUUGUUAAAUCCACCGAAUUAAUCGUUGGAUUGCGGGGGAUACUGCUUGGCUAGGGGACGAGAGAGGCAGACGGUAUUUCCGGGGUAGGGGUGAAAUCCUAUAAUCCCGGGAAGACCACCAGUGGCGAAGGCUGUCUGCUAGAACGCGCCCGACGGUGAGGGAUGAAAGCUGGGGGAGCGAACCGGAUUAGAUACCCGGGUAGUCCCAGCUGUAAACGAUGCAGGCUAGGUGUUUGGACGGCCACGUGCCGUUCUAGUGGCGCAGGGAAGCUGUUAAGCCUGCCGCCUGGGGAGUACGGUCGCAAGAUU
rnacentral:rRNA from 1 species